rnacentral:lncRNA from 1 species
AUGGCAGGGGGCCCUGAGGUCACCCUCCCGGGUGCGGUGAGGGAGGAGGGGACCACGAGCCCAUCCCUUCUUUGAGAGGCCCUCCAGCCACCACCAUCCCAUGCCCCUAUGGUGGCCCCUGGGCUGGCCCAUGGCCGCAGGCCUCACAGCUGCUGCCACUGAUGGGUCAGAGCCACCCUGCAAACUUGGGAGGCAUGGGGAGGUGGCCUCUGGCUCCAGGGCAGGGCUGCAGGGGCAGGCGGGCUGUGAAGCACCCAAGGCUGCGGCACCGCGGAGAGACUGGCACGGCUGAGCGCCCACAAGUGCUCCCAAGUUCACGAGUGGCUGUGGCAGUCCUACUGCGGCUACCUCACCUGGCGCAGCAUCCCGGCUGCCUUCCCCACCUACUGCAGCCCCCAACCAUCCCCACGGAGCUUCCCUUUGGGCAGCGCUGCUGUCCCCCAGGCCACAGGCCUAACCUGGGAACAGCUGCUGGCAUCAGCACCCCGGCUCAAGUCGUGGGCCUGGGACCCCAGGCUCCUCAUGUGCAGGCAUCAGUCUGGGUCACUCCAGUGACAAAGGUAGGAUCCAUAGCCCCUUCGGGAAGCCCGAGCGAGACCAGGUGACAGGCAGGCAGAUAAUAUGUUAUUCUAUCCUUGGCCCACAGAUUUAUGGUAGAGAUAGUGGAUUUCUUUAUUCUCUUCUUUGUAAAAGCAACCAUUAUCUUAAGCAUUAUGCACCUCAGUGGGAUAAAGGAUAUUUCUAAGUUUGCUAUGCAUUAUACAAUAGAAGAAAUGAAUGAAGACACAUCACUGGAAGACUUGCAGAAAAUGAUGGUUGUGGCUCUUUUAUACAGAUUAUUAAUUUGUUUCUAUGAGAUAAUUUGCAUUUGGGGAGCAGGUGGAGCUACCCCAGGGAAGUUCCUGCUGGGCCUUUGAGUUGAGACAUGUGAUACAUUAGUGCUUAUUGCACCAAGUCAGGUUUUAGUGAUGCCUUCCUCAAAUGUUAGCAUUACAACGAGCUUUGAUCAAGAAUUUUUUGAUUGCUUCUUUUUUUCCCUGCUUAUAUCACACUGCUGUUUUUUCAGCAUAAUUGAACAGCCUAUGACACUGUAGCAGGAACCAUUGUGGUAAAAAGAAAUGGGGUCAGAUGA